AAUAGAUACCCCGGUAGUCCACGCCGUAAACGAUGAGUGCUAAGUGUUGGAGGGUAUCCACCCUUCAGUGCUGCAGCUAACGCAUUAAGCACUCCGCCUGGGGAGUACGGUCGCAAGACUGAAACUCAAAGGAAUUGACGGGGGCCCGCACAAGCGGUGGAGCAUGUGGUUUAAUUCGAAGCAACGCGAAGAACCUUACCAGGUCUUGACAUCCUCUGCCAAUCCUAGAGAUAGGACGUUCCCCUUCGGGGGACAGAGUGACAGGUGGUGCAUGGUUGUCGUCAGCUCGUGUCGUGAGAUGUUGGGUUAAGUCCCGCAACGAGCGCAACCCUUGUCCUUAGUUGCCAGCAUUCAGUUGGGCACUCUAAGGAGACUGCCGGCUAAAAGUCGGAGGAAGGUGGGGAUGACGUCAAAUCAUCAUGCCCCUUAUGACCUGGGCUACACACGUGCUACAAUGGAUGGUACAAAGGGUCGCGAAACCGCGAGGUGGAGCCAAUCCCAAAAAGCCAUUCUCAGUUCGGAUUGCAGG
rnacentral:rRNA from 1 species